AAGUCGUAACAAGGUUUCCGUAGGUGAACCUGCGGAAGGAUCAUUAUCACGUAUCCACGUAUAAACCAUUGUGAACCGUACCUCACCCCUGGCAGACCUGGUGAAAAAAAAAGGAUAUUUCUUUUUUUUUUUGUUCUCUCACGAGACACUAGUAACCCCAGGGUGUAUUAACCAUAUAUUAACCAUUAUAACCCAAACUUUAUAACUUUAUGAACUAAUUUUUAUUUUAUACUCUUCGGAGAUAAAAUUCAUUACGAAACAAAGAACAACUCUUAGCAACGGAUAUCUUGGUUCUC
rnacentral:misc_RNA from 1 species